rnacentral:ribozyme from 14 species
UUGUUCUUCCUUUGGAGUUUUCUUUUUUUCUUCCUCUCUUCUAACUUCUUUGUCGUCCUCCUGAAUGUAACAACCCCCCCAACAACAAGAGUUAGCAUUUAACUGGAGUAUUAUAGGAAAAAAGAACAAAAAUGA